rnacentral:piRNA from 1 species
UGAACCUGUUUUUACAGUUGGUUCUGUGGC